rnacentral:lncRNA from 1 species
GUGCGCUUCCCCCCAUCCACCUCGCCUUCGGUUGCUGCUCGCGCUCCUGAAAGCCACCGACGACCUCCUCUCACGGUCAGCCGUGCCCAACGCGCUCCUCCUUCCUUCUCUCCCCCUCCCCUCACUAAUCUUUCUCCCUCUCUGUUCCCGAGCUGCAGGACGCCGUGGCCAUGGACCAAAGGUUCGCCGGACCUUUCCUCGCGAUUGCUGGACCAAAGAUUCCAUCGGUUUCUUUCUCCUUCCCCUGACGCAAGGCAGAGUUGGUUGGCGCACGUGGGUGGGUCGCUUCGCUUCCGGUAUGUGCGUGCGUGCUUGCGCUUGGUGAGGGGAAGAUGGCGAGUCGAGUGGGGCGUGGCGGUGACCGGGCCAACCCCGAUGCUGCCCAGGCGGGCUAUUGUGGCGGC